rnacentral:rRNA from 1 species
UACGUAGGGGGCAAGCGUUGUCCGGAAUCAUUGGGCGUAAAGAGCGCGUAGGCGGCCCAGUAAGUCCGCUCUGAAAGUCAGGGGCUCAACCCCUGAAUGCGGGUGGAUACUGCUGGGCUAGAGUCCGGAAGAGGCGAGUGGAAUUCCUGGUGUAGCGGUGAAAUGCGCAGAUAUCGGGAAGAACACCCGUGGCGAAGGCGGCUCUCUGGGACGGUACUGACGCUGAGACGCGAAAGCGUGGGGAGCGAACAGG